rnacentral:rRNA from 1 species
CUCAAAGGAAUUGACGGGGGCCCGCACAAGCGGUGGAGCAUGUGGUUCAAUUGAAGCAACGCGCAGAGCCUUACCAGCCCUUGACAUCCCGGUCGCGGAGAGCAGAGACGCACUCCUUCAGUUCGGCUGGACCGGAGACAGGUGCUGCAUGGCUGUCGUCAGCUCGUGUCGUGAGAUGUUGGGUUAAGUCCCGCAACGAGCGCAACCCUCGCCCUUAGUUGCCAUCAUUCAGUUGGGCACUCUAAGGGGACUGCCGGCGAUAAGCCGGAGGAAGGUGGGGAUGACGUCAAGUCCUCAUGGCCCUUACGGGCUGGGCUACACACGUGCUACAAUGGCGGUGACAGAGGGAUGCAAAGGGGCGACCCUUCGCAAAUCUCAAAAAGCCGUCUCAGUUCGGAUUGGGGUCUGCAACUCGACCCCAUGAAGUUGGAAUCGCUAGUAAUCGCAGAUCAGCACGCUGCGGUGAAUACGUUCCCGGGCCUUGUACUCACCGCCCGUC